rnacentral:rRNA from 1 species
UACGGGAGGCAGCAGUGGGGAAUAUUGCACAAUGGGCGAAAGCCUGAUGCAGCUAUGCCGCGUGUAUGAAGAAGGCCUUAGGGUUGUAAAGUACUUUCAUCGGGGAGGAAAAAACAAAACUAAUAAUUUUAUUCUUGACGUUACCCGAAAAAGAAGCACCGGCUAACUCCGUGCCAGCAGCCGCGGUAAUACGGAGGGUGCUAGCGUUAAUCAGAAUUACUGGGCGUAAAGAGCACGUAGGUGGUUUUUUAAGUUCAGAUGUGAAAUCCCUGGGCUUAACCUAGGAACUGCAUUUUGAAACUGAAAUACUAGAGUAUCGUAGAGGGAGGUAGAAUUCUAGGUGUAGCGGUGAAAUGCGUAGAUAUCUGGAGGAAUACCUGUGGCGAAAGCGGCCUCCUAAACGAAUACUGACACUGAGGUGCGAAAGCGUGGGGAGCAAACAGGGAUUAGAUACC